CUCCGAUUGCUCAUUUUGUCGGACAGCUGGGGGGAGAGAAACACAGACAAUCAGAGGACAUCGAAAACUUUGCUGUGGAAAAAGGAACCAAUGUGCUUGGAUCAGAGUGCUAAAGACAAGGCUCUCUGACUGUCCACCUACAGCACUGCUACAAUGUAGAUCACAAUCUCAACAAAACAUGAAAUGCAUGAAACUGAGCACAAACCAGCGUGUUGGGGCUGCUGCCUUGAUGACUGCUUUGUUCUGUUUGGAGGAAAGCAGAUAUUAUCAGUAGGCUUCCUGCUUGAACAUGUUCAGUUGAGAAAGCACAUUUAAUAAAACUCAGUUAAAUUUCUGUAAAAAAGAUUUUUUUUGUUUAAUGAAAUACUUUCUUUGGCAACAAAAGUCUAAACUUGCAUUAUAUACACAAAAUAUAAUUGUGUAAGCAAUCAUACAUGAGAGUUGAUCUUAUUUUGUGUUGUGACACAGAACCUGCUCCGUAUCUUCAUACAAACUACACAAAACAUUAUAUAUUUGUUCACUGUGUGUGAAUCUCUCCAGUGGAUAAUUACCAAAGCUCUAAGCACCAGUAUGUAGCUACUUGU